AGUACUUUCACUGACCUCCACACAGAUGCAAACAUGAUACUCUACAAUAUACCCUCUGUAUCAGGGAUUCAAAGCAGAUAAAAAAUAAGAACUUACAGAUAAAAAGUAAGAACAGCUAUAGAAAAGUUUCCUACAAAUACUAGAACUUGGGACAAUCAAAUGAAGCUGAAUAUAGGAAGAUUUGGGACAUACAAAGCUCUUCUUCACAGUGCAUAAACUAUGGAAUUUGCUCCCACAA